GAAAGUAAGCAAGGGCAGACGGUGGAUGCCUUGGCUCUCGGAGGCGACGAAGGACGUGAUAAGCUGCGAAAAGCCCGGGGGAGGCGCAAAUAGCCGUUGAUCCCGGGAUAUCCGAAUGGGGCAACCCGGCAGGUUGAAGGCCUGUCAUCCCGUAAGGGAGGCGAACGUGGGGAACUGAAACAUCUAAGUACCCAUAGGAGGAGAAAAUAAACAAUGAUUCCGUAAGUAGUGGCGAGCGAACACGGAAGAGCCCAAACCCGUGGCGUCUAGGCGACACGGGGGUUGUAGGACCACGACGUGGCAAGAUAGAGUCAAGUGGAACGCCUUGGAAAAGGCGGUCAUAGAGGGUGAAAACCCCGUACACGACUGACGAUUGAAGCCUAGUGGUAUCCUGAGUAGCGCGGGGCACGAGAAAUCUUGCGUGAAACAGCGGGGCCCAUCCCGUAAGGCUAAAUACUCCCGAGAGACCGAUAGCGAACCAGUACCGUGAGGGAAAGGUGAAAAGAACCCCGAGCAGGGGAGUGAAAUAGACCCUGAACCCGUCUGCCUACAAGCGGUCGGAGCGUUGUUAUGACGUGACGGCGUGCCUUUUGCAUAAUGAACCUACGAGUUACCUUCCCCGGCAAGGUUAAGUACCUAAGGUACGGAGCCGAAGCGAAAGCGAGUCUGAAUAGGGCGGCCAGUCGGGGGGGGUAGACGCGAAACCGAGUGAUCUACCCUUGGCCAGGUUGAAGGUUGGGUAACACCAACUGGAGGACCGGAUGGGUAAGCGUUGAAAAGCUUUCCAAUGAGCUGAGGGUAGGGGUGAAAGGCUAAUCAAACUCGGAGAUAGCUCGUACUCCCCGAAAUGCAUUUAGGUGCAGCCUCUUUAUAGUAUAUCGUGAGGUAGAGCGACUGAUUGGAUGCGAGGGCUUCACCGCCUAUCAAGUCCAGAUAAACUCCGAAUGCGCGAUAUAUAUUUACAGGGAGUGAGGGCGCGGGUGCUAAGGUCCGUGUCCGAGAGGAGAAGAAUCCAGACCACCGGCUAAGGCCCCCAAAUGAUCGUUGAGUUGAACUAACGAGGUCGGAUCGCAGAGACAGCUAGGAUGUUGGCUUGGAAGCAGCCAUUCAUUUAAAGAGUGCGUAACAGCUCACUAGUCGAGCGAUCUGGCGUGGAUAAUAAUCGGGCAUAAACGAUCUGCCGAAGCCGUGGAUGUCGUAAGACAUGGUAGGGGAGCAUUCCAUGCGGCGUCGAAGAUGAGGGACGACCCUUGUUGGAGCGCAUGGAAAAGCAAAUGUAGGUAUGAGUAACGAUAAGGGGGGCGAGAAACCCCCCCGCCGAAAGACCAAGGUUUCCUGAUCAACGCUAAUCGGAUCAGGGUGAGUCGGGACCUAAGGCAAAGCCGAACGGCGCCGCCGAUGGAAGAAUGGGUUAAUAUUCCCAUACUGCCUCAUGGAGUGACGUGGAGACGGAGAAGUGACAGUCCUGCCGGCUGACGGAAUAGCCGGUUGAAGGGUGUAGAUAUUGAUUCCCGUAGGCAAAUCCGCGGGGAGAGUCGAACCUGAGAGUAUACGGAGCGCUUGCGCGACGUAAUAUGGACGUAACCAUGCUCCCAAGAAAAUCCGCUAAACUUAUCCAUGCGGCACCCGUACCGUAAACGGACACACGUGGUCGGGUUGAGAAUACUGAGGCGCUCGAGUGAUUCACGGUUAAGGAACUAGGCAAAUUGACCCUGUAACUUCGGGAUAAAGGGUCCCAACGAGAGUUGGGCGCAGAGAAUAGGUCCAGGCAACUGUUUAACAAAAACACAGGGCUGUGCCAAAUUGAAAGAUUACGUAUACAGCCUGACACCUGCCCGGUGCUGGAAGGUUAAGAGGAGAUGUCAUCGCAAGAGAAGCAUUGAAUUGAAGCCCCAGUAAACGGCGGCCGUAACUAUAACGGUCCUAAGGUAGCGAAAUUCCUUGUC
rnacentral:rRNA from 1 species